GGUGAACGCUGGCGGUAGGCCUAACACAUGCAAGUCGAACGGCAGCACGGUAAGAGCCUGCUCUUACGGGUGGCGAGUGGCGGACGGGUGAGGAAUACAUCGGAAUCUACUUUUUCGUGGGGGAUAACGUAGGGAAACUUACGCUAAUACCGCAUACGACCUACGGGUGAAAGCAGGGGAUCUUCGGACCUUGCGCGAUUGAAUGAGCCGAUGUCGGAUUAGCUAGUUGGCGGGGUAAAGGCCCACCAAGGCGACGAUCCGUAGCUGGUCUGAGAGGAUGAUCGGCCACACUGAAACUAGACACCGGCCCAGACUCCUCGGGGGGCAAGAAGGGGGGAAUAUUGAACAAGGGGGGAAAGCCGAAUCCAGCCAUACCGCGUGGUGAAGAAGGCCUUCGGGUUGUAAAGCCCUUUUGUUGGGAAAGAAAAGCAGCAGGUUAAGACCCCGCUGUUCUGACGGUACCCAAAGAAUAAGCACCGGCUAACUUCGU
rnacentral:rRNA from 1 species